rnacentral:lncRNA from 1 species
AUUUGAUUUUGAUUUAGUGAGUGUAGAACGUGGAUUAAGAGAGAAUAAGAUUGAUUUGAGUAAGUAGAUUAAGAGAAUUAAGAGAUUAGAGUAAUGAGAGAGAGUAGAAAGAUUAGAGAGAGAUAGACUCAAAACUCAGAUUAGUCUUUAUUAAUCAGAGAGGUUACAAUUUAUAGUUCAGGAUACAAGGGUUUCCAAGACUCUAAGGAUAAGGUAAAGCAUGUGAAGUCAAUACAGAAGCUAGACUCGAUUUUGAAUUGAUCCAAUGGCUGUUCUCACAUGUGUAAGGUAUCUUUGCUUUUGCUUUACCUUUCCAGCAUGAGACAGGCUGUCACCGCGAGCCUUAUCCUUCUCCAAUGGGCUGAUUCUUCUCCAAGACUAAAGGCAUUCACCUUUUACCACUCUAACUCCUCAUUUUAACUUUCACCUUUGGUUAAUGUUUGUGAUCAUCCUUGAUGUGUACGGCCAGUUCCUUCUGUACGGAUUGUACGGCUAUGGCUGAUCACAAACUCUCCCAAAGUCUCAUCCCUUUCAGUCUCUUAACUCCUUAUGCCUUCUCAUACAUUGUACUCAACUCAUUUCAACAUCCACUUCUUGAUCUUCAUCUCAACA